rnacentral:rRNA from 1 species
GGAAUUCGAUUCAGGCCUGACACAUGCAAGUCGAGCGGAUGUGAGGGAGCUUGCUCCCAAACAUCAGCGGCGGACGGGUGAGUAACACGUAGGUAACCUGCCUAUAAGAGGGGGAUAACAUCGAGAAAUCGGUGCUAAUACCGCAUAAUAUAUGAAACCUCAUGGUUUCAUAUUGAAAGGUGGCUUCGGCUAUCGCUUAUAGAUGGACCUGCGGCGCAUUAGCUAGUUGGUGAGGUAACGGCUCACCAAGGCGACGAUGCGUAGCCGACCUGAGAGGGUGAUCGGCCACACUGGGACUGAGACACGGCCCAGACUCCUACGGGAGGCAGCAGUAGGGAAUCUUCCGCAAUGGACGAAAGUCUGACGGAGCAAAGGCGCGUGAGUGAUGAAGGUUUUCGGAUCGUAAAACUCAGGGUUAGGGAAGAACAAGUGCCGUUCGAAUAGGUCGGCACCUUGAC